CCUGGCUGGUCUCGAACUCCUGAGCUCAAAGCAAUCUGCCCAUCUCAGCCUCCCAAAGCACCGAGAUUACAGGCGUCAGCCAUCACGUCCAGCCAUGUUUCUUAAACUAAUUCGUUUCUGUGCCUUUAAUAGAUGGAACUGUCAACUACGGAAGCAUUUAGUAAUUGAGAGGACGGAAAACAGGUCCUGAAGUCAGGUUGUGGGCUGGGGCUUAGCUACCAGCCCCAAAUGCUGAAGUCCUGGGAUGCACACUAAACAAAAUGGGUUCCACAAGACAACUGGGAGCUCUUCCAACCAGCUUUCUCUCCAUGAACACCCACUUUGGGACUUUCAUAUGCUGCUCCCAUCACGAAGGCCUUGGUUCUUCACUACCCCUCAUCUUCAACCUCACUGUCAGCUGGCUCUGCCAAUGAAAUCUUUUUAGCUUAUCUGCUAGAAAAUUAUCUGAUUUUUUUUUUUUUUUUCUGGGGAUGGGAUCUUGCUCUGUCACC